GCGGAGGAAAAGAAACUAACAAGGAUUCCCUCAGUAACGGCGAGUGAAGCGGGAAGAGCUCAAAUUUAAAAUCUGGCUUGCUUGCAAGUCCGAGUUGUAGUCUGAAGAAGCGUUUUCCAUAAGCACUGAGGCACAAGUCCCUUGGAACAGGGCAUCAUAGAGGGUGAGAAUCCCGUCCAUGGUCUCAAGUCGCUUAUUUUGUGAUACGCUUUCAAAGAGUCAGGUUGUUUGGGAAUGCAGCCUAAAAUGGGUGGUAAAUUUCAUCUAAAGCUAAAUAUUGGCGAGAGACCGAUAGCGAACAAGUACCGUGAGGGAAAGAUGAAAAGAACUUUGAAAAGAGAGUUAAACAGUACGUGAAAUUGUUGAAAGGGAACCGUUUGAAGCCAGUCUUACUUGCCUGUGAUCAGUUUGUACCUCGGUAUGAAUGCACUCUUGGGUAUGGUAGGCCAACGACAGUUUGGAGUGCGAGAAAAAAACUUGGGAAAUGUGGCCUUCGGGUGUUAUAGUCCCUUGUAAAAUAUCGUGUUCCGGACUGAGGAUCGCAGUAAAAAUGUGGGCAGGUAGAUUUCUGUGGCGAAUGUUUAUUAGGACAACUUGUUGACCUAGUUUGCACGAACUUCACUGUUUGCCUCGCUUCUAAUUUGCUUAGGUCGUUGGCAUAAUGCUUUAAAUGAC
rnacentral:rRNA from 1 species